rfam:Propionibacterium acnes JCM 18909 DNA, contig: contig00006.
AUGGGUCCUCGGUAGUGGCCACCGGGGCACGAUCCGGCGGCUUCGAUCGAAGACCGGU